rnacentral:rRNA from 1 species
GACGAACGUUGGCGGCGUGCUUAACACAUGCAAGUCGAGCGGUAAGGCCCUUUCGGGGGUACACGAGCGGCGAACGGGUGAGUAACACGUGGGUGACCUGCCUCUAGCUCUGGGAUAAGCCCGGGAAACUGGGUCUAAUACUGGAUAUGACUCCAUGACGCAUGUUGUGGGGUGGAAAGCCUUGUGCGGCUAGAGAUGGGCCCGCGGCCUAUCAGCUUGUUGGUGGGGUGAUGGCCUACCAAGGCGACGACGGGUAGCCGGCCUGAGAGGGCGACCGGCCACACUGGGACUGAGACACGGCCCAGACUCCUACGGGAGGCAGCAGUGGGGAAUCUUGCGCAAUGGGCGAAAGCCUGACGCAGCGACGCCGCGUGAGGGAUGACGGCCUGGU